CCUACGGGGGGCAGCAGUGGGGAAUAUUGGACAAUGGGGGCAACCCUGAUCCAGCCAUGCCGCGUGUGUGAAGAAGGCCCUCGGGUUGUAAAGCACUUUCAGUGAGGAAGAACGCCUGGUGGUUAAUACCCAUCAGGAAAGACAUCACUCACAGAAGAAGCACCGGCUAACUCCGUGCCAGCAGCCGCGGUAAUACGGAGGGUGCGAGCGUUAAUCGGAAUUACUGGGCGUAAAGCGCGCGUAGGUGGCUUGAUAAGCCGGUUGUGAAAGCCCCGGGCUCAACCUGGGAACGGCAUCCGGAACUGUCAAGCUAGAGUGCAGUGGAGGAAGGUAGAAUUCCCGGUGUAGCGGUGAAAUGCGUAGAGAUCGGGAGGAAUACCAGUGGCGAAGGCGGCCUUCUGGACUGACACUGACACUGAGGUGCGAAAGCGUGGGUAGCAAACAGGAUUAGAUACCCCAGUAGUC
rnacentral:rRNA from 1 species